UUGCACGCUGGCGGCAGGCCUAACACAUGCAAGUCGAACGGUAACAGAAAGCAGCUUGCUGCUUUGCUGACGAGUGGCGGACGGGUGAGUAAUGUCUGGGAAACUGCCUGAUGGAGGGGGAUAACUACUGGAAACGGUAGCUAAUACCGCAUAACGUCGCAAGACCAAAGAGGGGGACCUUCGGGCCUCUUGCCAUCGGAUGUGCCCAGAUGGGAUUAGCUAGUAGGUGGGGUAACGGCUCACCUAGGCGACGAUCCCUAGCUGGUCUGAGAGGAUGACCAGCCACACUGGAACUGAGACACGGUCCAGACUCCUACGGGAGGCAGCAGUGGGGAAUAUUGCACAAUGGGCGCAAGCCUGAUGCAGCCAUGCCGCGUGUAUGAAGAAGGCCUUCGGGUUGUAAAGUACUUUCGGCGGGGAGGAAGGGAGUAAAGUUAAUACCUUUGCUCAUUGACGUUACCCGCAGAAGAAGCACCGGCUAACUCCGUG
rnacentral:rRNA from 1 species